ACGCAAUAGAUCCAGGUGUGGUUUAAGGUCGAAAUUCAUGGGAAUUUGUUUUAGCAUUGAAAGUAAGCAAGUAUCUCAAGAACAACGGCAAUUAUCUUCUAAGAAAGGACAAGACUUUGAUCAGUCAGCAAGUAAAUUAAGUAGGCCAGACUCAUUUGACUUAAAAAGCCCGAGCAACACUCCAUUGGUCCCCAAGAAUGUCACUGAUCUUCGCCAGAAUCCCAGGAUAUAGUAAUGUUGACAUCUUUGCAUAUGAGGAAAUGAAAUUGGCCACAAAGCAUUUCCGACCUGAUUUCAUUCUUGGCGAGGGUGGAUUUGGAGUUGUUUAUAAG
rnacentral:misc_RNA from 1 species